AUUGAACGCUGGCGGCAUGCCUUACACAUGCAAGUCGAACGGUAACUGGUUAAGCUGACGAGUGGCGAACGGGUGAGUAAUGUAUCGGAACGUGCCCCGUCGUGGGGGAUAACUGCUCGAAAGAGCAGCUAAUACCGCAUACGACCUGAGGGUGAAAGCGGGGGAUCGCAAGACCUCGCGCGAUUGGAGCGGCCGAUAUCAGAUUAGGUAGUUGGUGAGGUAAAGGCUCACCAAGCCGACGAUCUGUAGCUGGUCUGAGAGGACGACCAGCCACACUGGGACUGAGACACGGCCCAGACUCCUACGGGAGGCAGCAGUGGGGAAUUUUGGACAAUGGGCGCAAGCCUGAUCCAGCCAUGCCGCGUGCGGGAAGAAGGCCUUCGGGUUGUAAACCGCUUUUGUCAGGGAAGAAAAGGUUCUGGCUAAUACCUGGGACUCAUGACGGUACCUGAAGAAUAAGCACCGGCUAACUACGUG
rnacentral:rRNA from 1 species